rnacentral:tRNA from 1 species
GGGAUGUGGCGUAAUCGGUAGACGCAACGGACUUAAAAUCCGUUGGUAGAAAUACCGUGUGGGUUCGAGUCCCACCAUCCCC